GUGCUUGCUUCAGCACCACAUUUAUUAAAAUUGGAAUGAUACAGAGAAGUUUAGCAUGGCCCCUGCACAAGGAUGACACGCAAAUUCAUGAAGCAUUCCAUAUUAAA
rnacentral:snRNA from 1 species